rnacentral:rRNA from 1 species
GAGUUUGAUCGUGGCUCAGAUUGAACGCUGGCGGCAUGCCUUACACAUGCAAGUCGAACGGCAGCAUGAUCUAGCUUGCUAGAUUGAUGGCGAGUGGCGAACGGGUGAGUAAUACAUCGGAACGUGCCCUGUAGUGGGGGAUAACUAGUCGAAAGAUUAGCUAAUACCGCAUACGACCUGAGGGUGAAAGUGGGGGACCGCAAGGCCUCAUGCUAUAGGAGCGGCCGAUGUCUGAUUAGCUAGUUGGUGGGUAAAGGCCACCAAGGCGACGAUCAGUAGCUGGUCUGAGAGGACGAUCAGCCACACUGGGACUGAGACACGGCCCAGACUCCUACGGGAGGCAGCAGUGGGGAAUUUUGGACAAUGGCGAAAGCCUGAUCCAGCAAUGCCGCGUGUGUGAAGAAGGCCUCGG